UUAAGCGACUAAGCGUACACGGUGGAUGCCCUGGCAGUCAGAGGCGAUGAAGGACGUGCUAAUCUGCGAAAAGCGUCGGUAAGGUGAUAUGAACCGUUAUAACCGGCGAUGUCCGAAUGGGGAAACCCAGUGCAAUUCGUUGCACUAUCGUUAACUGAAUACAUAGGUUAACGAGGCGAACCGGGGGAACUGAAACAUCUAAGUACCCCGAGGAAAAGAAAUCAACCGAGAUUCCCCCAGUAGCGGCGAGCGAACGGGGAGCAGCCCAGAGUCUGAAUCAGCUUGUGUGUUAGUGGAACGGUCUGGAAAGUCCGACGGUACAGGGUGAUAGUCCCGUACACCAAAAUGCACAGGCUGUGAACUCGAAGAGUAGGGCGGGACACGUGGUAUCCUGUCUGAAUAUGGGGGGACCAUCCUCCAAGGCUAAAUACUCCUGACUGACCGAUAGUGAACCAGUACCGUGAGGGAAAGGCGAAAAGAACCCCGGCGAGGGGAGUGAAAAAGAACCUGAAACCGUGUACGUACAAGCAGUGGGAGCACCUUCGGGUGUGACUGCGUACCUUUUGUAUAAUGGGUCAGCGACUUAUAUUCUGUAGCAAGGUUAACCGUAUAGGGGAGCCGCAGGGAAACCGAGUCUUAACUGGGCGUUAAGUUGCAGGGUAUAGACCCGAAACCCGGUGAUCUAGCCAUGGGCAGGUUGAAGGUUGGGUAACACUAACUGGAGGACCGAACCGACUAAUGUUGAAAAAUUAGCGGAUGACUUGUGGCUGGGGGUGAAAGGCCAAUCAAACCGGGAGAUAGCUGGUUCUCCCCGAAAGCUAUUUAGGUAGCGCCUCGUGAACUCAUCUUCGGGGGUAGAGCACUGUUUCGGCUAGGGGGUCAUCCCGACUUACCAACCCGAUGCAAACUACGAAUACCGAAGAAUGUUAUCACGGGAGACACACGGCGGGUGCUAACGUCCGUCGUGAAGAGGGAAACAACCCAGACCGCCAGCUAAGGUCCCAAAGUCAUGGUUAAGUGGGAAACGAUGUGGGAAGGCACAGACAGCCAGGAUGUUGGCUUAGAAGCAGCCAUCAUUUAAAGAAAGCGUAAUAGCUCACUGGUCGAGUCGGCCUGCGCGGAAGAUGUAACGGGGCUAAACCAUGCACCGAAGCUGCGGCAGCGACACUAUGUGUUGUUGGGUAGGGGAGCGUUCUGUAAGCCUGCGAAGGUGACCUGUGAGGGUUGCUGGAGGUAUCAGAAGUGCGAAUGCUGACAUAAGUAACGAUAAAGCGGGUGAAAAGCCCGCUCGCCGGAAGACCAAGGGUUCCUGUCCAACGUUAAUCGGGGCAGGGUGAGUCGACCCCUAAGGCGAGGCCGAAAGGCGUAGUCGAUGGGAAACAGGUUAAUAUUCCUGUACUUGGUGUUACUGCGAAGGGGGGACGGAGAAGGCUAUGUUAGCCGGGCGACGGUUGUCCCGGUUUAAGCAUGUAGGCUGAUUGUCCAGGCAAAUCCGGAUAAUCAAGGCUGAGGUGUGAUGACGAGGCACUACGGUGCUGAAGUAACAAAUGCCCUGCUUCCAGGAAAAGCCUCUAAGCAUCAGGUAACAUUAAAUCGUACCCCAAACCGACACAGGUGGUCAGGUAGAGAAUACCAAGGCGCUUGAGAGAACUCGGGUGAAGGAACUAGGCAAAAUGGUGCCGUAACUUCGGGAGAAGGCACGCUGGUGUGUAGGUGAAGCCCCUGCGGGUGGAGCUGAGACCAGUCGAAGAUACCAGCUGGCUGCAACUGUUUAUUAAAAACACAGCACUGUGCAAACACGAAAGUGGACGUAUACGGUGUGACGCCUGCCCGGUGCCGGAAGGUUAAUUGAUGGGGUUAUCCGUAAGGAGAAGCUCUUGAUCGAAGCCCCGGUAAACGGCGGCCGUAACUAUAACGGUCCUAAGGUAGCGAAAUUCCUUGUCGGGUAAGUUCCGACCUGCACGAAUGGCGUAAUGAUGGCCAGGCUGUCUCCACCCGAGACUCAGUGAAAUUGAACUCGCUGUGAAGAUGCAGUGUACCCGCGGCAAGACGGAAAGACCCCGUGAACCUUUACUAUAGCUUGACACUGAACAUUGAGCCUUGAUGUGUAGGAUAGGUGGGAGGCUUUGAAGCGUGGACGCCAGUCUGCGUGGAGCCAACCUUGAAAUACCACCCUUUAAUGUUUGAUGUUCUAACGUUGGCCCCUGACCGGGGUUGCGGACAGUGUCUGGUGGGUAGUUUGACUGGGGCGGUCUCCUCCCAAAGCGUAACGGAGGAGCACGAAGGUUAGCUAAUCCUGGUCGGACAUCAGGAGGUUAGUGCAAUGGCAUAAGCUAGCUUGACUGCGAGCGUGACGGCGCGAGCAGGUGCGAAAGCAGGUCAUAGUGAUCCGGUGGUUCUGAAUGGAAGGGCCAUCGCUCAACGGAUAAAAGGUACUCCGGGGAUAACAGGCUGAUACCGCCCAAGAGUUCAUAUCGACGGCGGUGUUUGGCACCUCGAUGUCGGCUCAUCACAUCCUGGGGCUGAAGUAGGUCCCAAGGGUAUGGCUGUUCGCCAUUUAAAGUGGUACGCGAGCUGGGUUUAGAACGUCGUGAGACAGUUCGGUCCCUAUCUGCCGUGGGCGCUGGAGAAUUGAGGGGGGCUGCUCCUAGUACGAGAGGACCGGAGUGGACGCAUCACUGGUGUUCGGGUUGUCAUGCCAAUGGCACUGCCCGGUAGCUAAAUGCGGAAGAGAUAAGUGCUGAAAGCAUCUAAGCACGAAACUUGCCCCGAGAUGAGUUCUCCCUGAGACU
rnacentral:rRNA from 1 species